UCAUGCUAUCGAAACAAAUUUAUUUUUGGGUUAUUUAAAAAAAAAACUUACAGCUACCCUGUGGACCAUGGACCCCCCCGGUUCAGAACCUGUGAUCUAUUUACUACUACUCUUUUUUUUUUUUCUUUUUAAUUAAAAAUAAAAAAGAACUAAAAUUGUUCAAUUAGUAUAAAUUUAAAAUUCGCGAUUGAUUCUCCCAAUAAUUUUAUGUAGGUGCCUCUAAUCAUAAUAAUUCAUUGUUUUUUUUUCUAAAUAUCGUUUUGCUUACUUUUUCUAAAGUUAGCAGAAUAUUAUAAUUCUGUGGGAACCUAUAUGCACCUUGGUAGUUUUUCCUUUAAAUUGUGUUGUAUAAAACCGUUUUUAUUUUUAACAGAAUAUUGAAGCGUGGGACGAGGAAUUUAUUAGUUUCGAUUGAAUGUGAAAUUCAUACGCCCACAGUAAUAAUAAUAAUAAUAAUAAAAG